rnacentral:rRNA from 1 species
AUGAACGCUGGCGGCGUGCCUAAUCCAUGCAAGUCGAGCGCACAGACGAGGAGCUUGCUCCUCUGACGUUAGCGGCGGACGGGUGAGUAACACGUGGAUAACCUACCUAUAAGACUGGGAUAACUUCGGGAAACCGGAGCUAAUACCGGAUAAUAUAUUGAACCGCAUGGUUCAAUAGUGAAAGACGGUUUUGCUGUCACUUAUAGAUGGAUCCGCGCCGCAUUAGCUAGUUGGUAAGGUAACGGCUUACCAAGGCAACGAUGCGUAGCCGACCUGAGAGGGUGAUCGGCCACACUGGAACUGAGACACGGUCCAGACUCCUACGGGAGGCAGCAGUAGGGAAUCUUCCGCAAUGGGCGAAAGCCUGACGGAGCAACGCCGCGUGAGUGAUGAAGGUCUUCGGAUCGUAAAACUCUGUUAUUAGGGAAGAACAAAUGUGUAAGUAACUAUGCACGCCUUGACGGUACCUAAUCAGAAAGCCACGGCUAACUACGUG